AUAAUGCAUUUCAAGCAUCGAGCACCCACCGAUUCCAUCCUGUGCCGAACUCGCGUCCGCAACCGUAGAAAGCGCAUACAAGUCAGUAACAAUGGCGAAGAACUCCUCGACCUCCGUUCAGCUGCUCCUCGUCCUCCUCGUUUUACUGGUUGUUGUCAGCGGCAUCCUCGCACAAGGCGGACCAAGCACUUGCGACUCGCCUGAGCAGCAUGAAUGCCCUCCAAUCCCUGGUCAAGGGAACUAAUCUCAACCAGUGUAUCAGAAGGACGCCAGCGACAAAUUCACGUACCUAUUCCUUGCAGCAGGAUUUGAAGGACUGUUUACUAGUACUCCCGCCGUUUCAAAUUUUAAGUCUAGUACAUACUUUUGGUUAUGUAUAUUCUAGAUAUAAUGUAAAUUUAAGUGCAUAGCAAAAGCUACGUAUCUAAAAGAAGUGAAAACAACCUACAAUCAACGAAGUACUUUGAUUGUAUGUCCUGCUGAUGUUGGUGUAUAUGGCCUACUUUUCCAAUAUAAUAUGAUGGACAGUAUAACUACCCGUCCAAUAAAAAGGUUCAGAGCUGUUUAUGAAUACUCAUGUGCGUGUGCAAGGAUUACGACCAAAGAGUCCCCGCCCCUUACGGUGAUGGUAAACAAAUUGUGUAAUACACUAAUGGAAAACUGAGCAUUGUCCAACGUGUUAGUACCGGACGGCUAACGCGCGGCGUUAGUACGGAUCGUCACGCACAGUGCCACCGGAACUCCUAUAGUACAGGUUUGGAUUCUCAGCCGGUACGCAUGGGGACCACGUGGCCAACGGUAAGAUUCCCCUGCAAGCCAUUUAGUACCAGUUGGUAGCUUCAAUCGGUACUAAAUGAUGUUCACGCACGUGUGUACCGGCUGGUAGCUUCAACUGAUACUAAAUGUCACAAUUUAGUAUCGGCUAGAGCAACCAGCCAGUACUAACGUACACCCUAUAAAAUAAGCUCCUUCUUCCUCCCCGAGUCCGAGCUCAACCAUUUAACCGAGCUGAGAGCUCGGGCUUCUUCACUCCAUGAGCGACCUAGGGGAGGUGCUGCCCAUUUUUUCCACGAUUUGUAGGGAUUUCACUUUUCCAACUAUUCUAAAGGUUAGCAACUUCAUCCUCCCUCCUCUCAUGAUUAGUACUUUAUAUUUUAUGCUUUGCAGCUAGAGAAAUUUGUGCUUUUUAGAUUGAGGAUGAAUGGAGAGCUUUCAUUUAUACAUGCACGGAGAAUGUAGUUUUUUAACUUAUGAAAGUGUGUCUGAUAUUUAGAAAUUCGUAUUGGAUGUUGAGAAAUGUGUUGUGUUAAUUACUUUUAGUACCAUGUUGGAUGAGAGGUUUAGUUUUAUUUGAAAUAAAAAUAAUCAACUAAUUUUGUUGCUUUACAUAAAUAAAAUAGUUGAGCUCAACCUGAUGGUGAUUCGGGACAAAGGAAGGUGCUAACAAAAUUUUUAGGGAUUUAAUUUGCUCAUUGAAAGUGGUCCAUAAAAGAUGGACCCGCAGCGG